rnacentral:rRNA from 1 species
GAAUCUUCUGCAAUGGGCGAAAGCCUGACAGAGCGACGCCGCGUGGAGGAUGAAGGCCCUCGGGUUGUAAACUCCUGUCCCUCGUUAAGAACGUCCGGAGUAACGACCUGGACUGACGUUAGCGCGCGAGGAAGCAACGGCUACCUUCGUGCCAGCAGCCGCGGUAAGACGAAGGUGGCAACCGUUGCUCGGAUUCACUGGGCAUAAAGCGCGCGUAGGCGGCUUGGUAGGUCACUGGUGAAAUCCCCCGGCCCAACCGGGGAACAGCCAAUGAAAACGCCUUGCUUGAGGGCAGGAGGGGAGAGUGGAACUCCUGGUGUAGCGGUGAAAUGCGUAGAUAUCAGGAGGAACGCCGGUGGCGAAAGCGACUCUCUGGACUGUUCCUGACACUGAGGCGCGAAAGCUAGGGGAGCAAACAGG